GGGUGAUAGGCAUUGAGGAGGGCCGUUGUUGGGAUGAGCACUGGGUGUUGUAUGUAAGCGAUGAAUCACUGGAUUCUACUCCUGAAAUCAUUAUUGCAGUAUAUGUUAGCUAAGUUGGAUGUAAACAA